GCGGAGGAAAAGAAACCAACAGGGAUUGCCCUAGUAACGGCGAGUGAAGCGGCAACAGCUCAAAUUUGAAAUCUGGCGUCUUCGGCGUCCGAGUUGUAAUUUGCAGAGGGCGCUUUGGCAUUGGCAGCGGUCCAAGUUCCUUGGAACAGGACGUCACAGAGGGUGAGAAUCCCGUACGUGGUCGCUAGCCUUUACCGUGUAAAGCCCCUUCGACGAGUCGAGUUGUUUGGGAAUGCAGCUCUAAAUGGGAGGUAAAUUUCUUCUAAAGCUAAAUACUGGCCAGAGACCGAUAGCGCACAAGUAGAGUGAUCGAAAGAUGAAAAGCACUUUGGAAAGAGAGUUAAAAAGCACGUGAAAUUGUUGAAAGGGAAGCGCUUGCAGCCAGACUUGCCUGUAGUUGCUCAUCCGGGUUUCUACCCGGUGCACUCUUCUACGGGCAGGCCAGCAUCAGUUUGGGCGGUUGGAUAAAGGUCUCUGUCAUGUACCUCUCUUCGGGGAGAACUUAUAGGGGAGACGACAUGCAACCAGCCUGGACUGAGGUCCGCGCAUCUGCUAGGAUGCUGGCGUAAUGGCUGUAAGCGGCCCGUCUUGAAACACGGACCAAGGAGUCUAACAUCUAUGCGAGUGUUUGGGUGUCAAGCCCGAGCGCGUAAUGAAAGUGAACGGAGGUGGGAACCCUUCGGGGUGCACCAUCGACCGAUCCUGAUGUCUUCGGAUGGAUUUGAGUAAGAGCAUAGCUGUUGGGACCCGAAAGAUGGUGAACUAUGCUUGAAUAGGGUGAAGCCAGAGGAAACUCUGGUGGAGGCUCGCAGCGGUUCUGACGUGCAAAUCGAUCGUCAAAUUUGGGCAUA
rnacentral:sRNA from 1 species